rnacentral:rRNA from 1 species
ACGAACGCUGGCGGCGUGCCUAAUACAUGCAAGUCGAACGAGAGCGACCGGUGCUUGCACUGGUCAAUCUAGUGGCGAACGGGUGAGUAACACGUGGGUAACCUGCUCAUCAGAGGGGGAUAACAUCCGGAAACGGAUGCUAAAACCGCAUAGGUCUUCGAGCCGCAUGGCUUGAAGAGGAAAAGAGGCGCAAGCUUCUGCUGAUGGAUGGACCCGCGGUGCAUUAGCUAGUUGGUGAGGUAACGGCUCACCAAGGCCGUGAUGCAUAGCCGACCUGAGAGGGUGGUCGGCCACAUUGGGACUGAGACACGGCCCAAACUCCUACGGGAGGCAGCAGUAGGGAAUCUUCCGCAAUGGACGCAAGUCUGACGGAGCAACGCCGCGUGAGUGAAGAAGGUUUUCGGAUCGUAAAACUCUGUUGUUAGAGAAGAACAAGUGCUAGAGUAACUGUUAGCGCCUUGACGGUAUCUAACCAGAAAGCCACGGCUAACUACGUG